rnacentral:rRNA from 1 species
UACGUAGGUGGCAAGCGUUGUCCGGAAUUACUGGGCUUAAAGGGUUUGUAGGCGGCCAUGUAAGUGGGGUGUGAAAUCCCUCGGCUCAACCGAGGAAUGGCGCCCCAUACUGCAUGGCUUGAGGGAGACAGGGGUAAGCGGAACUGAUGGUGGAGCGGUGAAAUGCGUUGAUAUCAUCAGGAACACCGGUGGCGAAAGCGGCUUACUGGGUCUCUUCUGACGCUGAGGAACGAAAGCUAGGGUAGCGAACGGG